GUGCCAACCUGAUCGCUCCCCGUUGUGAUGCUCUCUGCGAUCCGACCUAGGCCGACGCCGAGGACCCUUCUCGCCGUCGGCGACCAUGGCGUACGGCAACCGCGUCACCACCUUCGAGGACUCCGAGAAGGAGAGCGAGUACGACUAUGUCCGCAAGGUCCGCGCCUCCCCCUUCCUCUCCCGUCCGCAUCGCUUGCGCCUAGAUCCCGCUGCUCGGUUUCACGCGGUCUAUAGUGGGCGUGGGCUGCACGCCUGCACGGCACCGUGUAUGGGUCGUCGGCUUCUGGCGUGCUCGGAUCGAGCUAAAUUGCUGUCAGAUUUGGUUACCUGCGGGUUCUAGGCAUGGGAUUUGGGUGAUGUUGGCGGUUACUGUCGUGGAUCUCUUAAGAUCUAGCCAGCAUUGGUGAUCAGGUGGGGGUGGCUUGGUGCAGUGGUUUUGGAGAUUUGCGGGGUGGUGUUUUGAUUGCAAUGUUGUGAUUUGACUACCUCGAUUCUCGAGAGUUAUUGGGGUCUUUGGUUCACGCUGCCAUGUAAUUAGUUGAAUUAGUGAAAGAUGUGCAUAAGUUUACCAUUUUGUAGAAGCUAGAUUCAUUUUUUGAGCUUGGUAUUGAUCGAUCAUGGCCAUUUUCAGGUGAGUUUUACUACACUAAUAAUGUGUGUGAUUUAGGUGGGGCAAGUGCGUGGACCUGCAGAGUGCUUUGUGUUGCAUUUUGUUUGUAGAAGUAUUAACAUUGUUUUUCUUUGCAUAAUCAAAGAGAAUGAAGUCCCAUAGUGCACAUACAACGCCAGAGGUUGGCAGUGGUUGCAACGCCGAAAGCAGAAGUUGUUGGCUAACUGGCCAUUGAAUACUUUGUAGUACAACCAUUGAUCAACCUGUUAGUAGAGCCUUGGCUUACCAAGUUCAUGUGUUGUGAUCCUCUUUUCCUUAGUUUCAAUAUAAUGCAGACAUGCUGGUUAGAUUUGUUCUGCUACUGUCACCCACAUCUUGUUUGCACCAUUUGCAUCCGUCCAGUGAUCCCUAUGCUGUUCGUGUAUCUUGUGUAGGACAUGAAGCAUUGGCCCCUCAUAGCUCCCCUGCCGUCCUACGGGAGAGGAAGGGACGAGCCUGGCGCAAGGUACAACAAUUUCAUUGGAGGAUCCAAUCUCACUGACGUCAUCAUCACAGGCAAAAAUGGAACGAUCAACGGGAAGGGGAAGGUCUGGUGGGACAAGUUCCACGCCAAGGAGCUCAAGUUCAUCCGCGGCCACCUCCUCGAGCUCCUCUACUCUGAGAACAUCAUCAUCUCCAAUGUCACCUUCGUCAACGCGCCGUACUGGAACCUCCACCUAAAUGAUUAGGGUAACGAUUAGGACGCCUAAUCGGUCCUGGUAAGUGUGAACUAUGCAAUCUACAUACAACCUGUGAAGUGUGAACUAUAGGAUUCCAGUGGACAGUGGUAAUUGGUAAGAUAUAGGAAAGGUAGAGAAGGAGGGGAGCAGGUGCUAAGGGAGUGGUAACUGCACAUAAUCGUUGUGGCAAGGUUUUUGAAGCGAGUAGAUGAGCCUCGGCAGUCAGUAAUUUCUGUUGUUGCUUCGCAACCCUCAGCACGCGAUGAAGUUGUUGUUCUGAACAUACAGCUCGUCCAGAGUAACUAAAAAGCCUAUACCAGAAAAUAUGCCCCCACUAAAUGCAUUAUCAGCAACAUCACUGAUUUGAACAGUAAUAUUUCAAUACUAUUAUUUCAAUACUAUGUUCGUGGCACUUGCGAACUCUCAUUUCUUGCAAGCACUAUUUUUUGUGAAAUGCUUAUUGAUUUGAAGGUGCUUUCAGAUCAUGUUUCCUUCAACACUGCCUUGGGAAACAUUAAGGAUGCGGGUUCCAUCAGGUGACUUCACAUCAAGAUCGAUUCCAAUUUUACUGGUAUUACUUGAUUUGUUUACUGUGAUGUUAGCUGCUUCUGCUGUGCUGUUUUCAAUGUUUAAAAUGCAUUCAUUUCUGUAUUUUGACACUGCAUUUUGUGCUAUUAAUUAAUGCCAUUCUGAUCUGACCUCAAGUUCUAGGAGCAGCUAAGUGAAAUAAUAAUGUUUCUAAAUGUAUCUUCUCUUUUGUGCUUGUGUUUUGCUUGGUAUUGCUUCCCUGCUAUAAUCCUAGCUAUGUAAGCUUGAUGUCUGAUGAUUCUGUUUUCUCCCGCUCAUCUCAUUUUGUCAUAUGAACCAAAUCUGUACCUUAUGAAUACUUCAGCAAAGGUGAGGUUUCUAUUGUCUCAAGGAUGGUAACUGCACUUGUCAAACAUAAAAGCUUGUCCUAUCCUACGCUGACUUCUACCAGCUUGCUGGAGUCGUGGCAGUCGAGGUAACUGGCGGACCUGAUGUCCCCUUCCACCCCGGGAGGCAGGUGAGGCUGGUCUCUUUUCUAAUAAACCUUUUUAGUUUUAUAUUAGAUAUAAGAAGAUGCAGUGCUUGUCGGAGGCUCAUAAGUGUGGUUUGGAGAAUUGAUAACCUGUUCUUCGACAAAUACAGAUUGCUUCGAACCUGUGGCCUCUCAGUGAGACACACAUCCUUGGUCUUAUGUUGGAUAUGUAAAACUAAUCAUCAAGCCCUAGACUAAUCCAACCCAAACCCAAGAUUUUGGUAGGGUUUAUUUAAGCAAAACUAACCCUAUUGUCAUCAGCUUGUCUACCAUUGUACCUGGGAUUCUGGGAAAGUGGUCUUGAUGCUGACACAUGUUUCCACUGUUUGAUGGCCAGCUUAUGGUUAAAUAGAGGAUAACCUUGUAUAAUUAGUAACUAGCAGCAUACCUGUUAGGGGGCACUUGCCUUCUGGAAAGAUAAUGUCGCAAGCUAUCUCCACUAUCUUAUACUGCAUAGGUACUAGGAUAUUUGACAUUUGCAGAAACGAGUUUUUUUUUCUAGAGUAGUCUUCUAGCUGCAGAGGAGUAUGCUGACAUUGUGCUAACUUAGGCUUAUAUUUGCUUGCAUUGUUCUGUCCAUACUGCCUUAAUAUUGUAUAUUAUGGCUUCAUAAUGGUAUUUUCGGAUUGACUCAUUGAUGCAUAAUGGUAUUAUCGUAAAUCAUACUGCCUUAAUAUAGAGGAUUGGCAUAAUGAUAUUUGCUUGUGGGAUAUGCUUGUAGCCAUUCCGUUCUGAUGAUUCCAAUAGGAUCUUUCUUAGGGUUGGAUCUCCUCAUGGUUUUAUUUUAAUUAAAUAAGUCUGUGGUGCAGACACUAAUUUAUAUGAAUAUAACCUAUCCAUCAUUACUUCACUUCAAGUCUGGCACUGCCAUGUCUCUGUAUGCUUGAUAGUCUGUCUAAACCUUGGAGUAGCAGAUUGCCAUGGGUUGUUGUAUCGAUGAUGCUUAAGUAUGGGUAAGCUAAAUAGGGAUGCAAGUAGCAGAUUAUGCUAGAUUCUUGCACAGGGAAACUUAUGUAGUAUUGGGGGGUAACAAGUAGGUUCCUUUUUAAAGGUACACGUGAGCAUGCCUAUACUAUGCCAGAUGCUUGAUUAGUUCAAAAACAUUUGUGUGGGGGAGCUGUUUUAUUCUUGUUUAUUUAUCAGUUCAAACAGAUUGUCAUGAACAUGCUUGAUUGCCUUCGUUUGACAGAGAAACCUAUAGUAUAUAAAAUCAUGGGCAGAGGUCCCCAAACCAUGGUGUACUAUAGUGGGCCUUUGUACUUUGUAUCUAAUCAUCUAACCUUAGAUGCAGGCAUUAGUUUAUGUGUUGAUACCGUCAUACGCCGUUGUUUCAUAACAACGCCCAUCAGACAGAUAGAGAGUGACGACGACACUAGCUCACAUAUGAAGUGCUAAGGUUUCUUCCUUCUUGCGUGUUGGUGUAAAGAGCAGGUAAACCUGCUUGCGCGAUGGUACAAACAGCAGCAAGAAAGCUUUUUUUAAAAUUCUUCGAAGAGGCCGCCACUAAAUGGCUCCAUGAAUAAAUGGGUGUGAAAAGUCUUGGAUGCUUGGUUUGCUCACAGGGAUUGUAUUCUCCUACUAGCCACAUGAUCAGGCUAUGGAGUACGGAGUUCACAAAAUCUAGGAGAUGAACAACCUCGGGGUAACCCUCUCACUGUCUCAUGCCAGCAGCCGCACCCACGUCCUGUUCUGUCUCGCACGCUCUCGCCAACUUGUGGUUGUCCAUCCGCCGCCAAGCACCCGGCCCCAGCAGUCACACUAUUGCUUCUGUGAAAAUUAUACGGAACAAGCAGACUGGGCACUCAGAAGGCUAUGGUUUUAUUGAGUUUUCCUCUCGAGGUGCUGCAGAACAUACUCUGAUGAACUUCAAUGGGCAGAUGAUGUCGAAUGUUGAGAUAACUUUUAAGCUGAACUGGGCUUCUGCUAGCAUUGGUGAUAAGCGUGGAGAUAGUGGUUCUGAUCACACAAUAUUUGUUGGUGAUUUGGCUCAUGGUGUUACUGACUCCAUGUUGGAAGAUGUGUUCAGAGCUAAGUACCCUUCAGUUAGAGGAGCUAAUGUUGUUGUUGAUAGGAUGACUGGAUGGCCCAAAGGAUAUGGUUUCGUGCGUUUUGGAGAUCUGAAUAAUGCAUUGUGAAGAUGUACAUUUGUGCUUGUUUGAUCUGAAAAGGGGACAACUUUUAGAUAUAGCAUAAUAGGAUAUGAAGAUGAAAGAUCUGUACUUAGGAAUUUGUUCAUGAAUGC